UAUUAAACCUGAUAAAGCGAAAAGACCACAGCGAGGUACGAGCGAGGACUUGAAGCGAUAGCAGGACUGUGC
rnacentral:sRNA from 1 species